rnacentral:tmRNA from 1 species
GGGGGCGUCAUGGUUUCGACGUGGUCGUCUACAGGGAUUGGUUGCGAGCCGAGGAUGUCGGUUGGCCUCGUUAAAAAAUCCGGCAGUAUGAACUGCGAAGUCUGAUACUGACAUCGCUUUCGCCGCCUGAUCCUAGGAUCACGUGACGAACGUCUUUGAACCCUGGGCCCGUGGGGUGCAAACGGCGUAAAACAACGGGCUUGUUCUCCGGCGGAGUGGUGUGCCGACGGGGGAGACCUUAUGCACCUGGCUCGAAAAACGCCGGCCCGCAGAGCCGCUUUCGAGUGAGAUUGAUCAGCGGGCUACGCUCGUAGACGCCUUUUCCGAGCGGUCGCGGACCCGGGUUCGAUUCCCGGCGCCUCCACUC